rnacentral:rRNA from 1 species
UUUAUUAAAAACAUGGCCUAUUGAGAAUGAUUUUAGGUCAGGCCUGCCCAAUGAUUAUUAUUUAAUGGCCGCGGUAAUUUGACCGUGCAAAGGUAGCAUAAUCAUUAGUUUCUUAAUUGGAAGCUUGUAUGAAAGGUUUGAUGAGAAAAUAGCUGUCUCUAUUUAAAUUUUUUAAAAUUUUAUUUUUAAGUUAAAAAGCUUAAAUUUUUGUAGAAGACGAGAAGACCCUAUAGAGUUUUAUAAAUUUAGUUUAGUAAGAUUAUAUUUUAGUAUUAUUAAGUUUAUUAGUAAGUUUAUUUGGUUGGGGUGAUUGAAAAAUUUAUUUAACUUUUUUUAAAAAUUUACAUUUAUAUGUGAGUAUUUGAUCCUUUUUUUAAGAUUAAAAGAUAAAAUUACCUUAGGGAUAACAGCGUUAUUUUUUUUUAGAGUUCUAAUCGAAAGAAAAGAUUGCGACCUCGAUGUUGGAUUAAAGGAAAUUAUUGGUGUAGAAGCUAAUAAAUUAGGUCUGUUCGACCUUUAAAACUUUACAUGAUCUGAGUUUAAACCGGUGUGAGCCAGGU